rnacentral:rRNA from 1 species
UGAGGGAAAGGCGAAAAGAACCCCGGGAGGGGAGUGAAAUAGAUCCUGAAACCGCAUGCAUACAAACAGUCGGAGCCCCGCUUUAAGCGCUUUCGGCGAUUUUUACGGUAGUAAAAAUCGUCAAAAGACUCCAGUGUGAAAUAGCACCACUGGCGCGCAAAGCGGUUUAAGCGCGAGAGCGCUUAAAGCGGGGUGACGGCGUACCUUUUGUAUAAUGGGUCAGCGACUUACAUUCAGUGGCAAGCUUAACCGAUUAGGGAAGGCGU